rnacentral:lncRNA from 1 species
UUUAGUGAUGUUAGUUGACCUUAGCUGGAACAAAAGUCAACAAGUAAUCCUUUUAAACAGUAAAACUCUUAGUUUUUUCAUUAUAAAUUGAGGCUUCUACCAAAGUGACUCUAAGGUAGACUUGUGUUCCAAUGGUAACUUAAAAUAUGUAAAUGUUUGUAAAAUGUUGUUUAUAGAUCCCAGUGUUGGUCAGGCCUGGGAUGGCCAAGACAGUUGGAAAGCAGGAGAUGGACAACUUGAAGGCAUUGCACAGUGCUUUAGAGGCCUCCUGCGAGCCUUGGUUUUGAAGCUUUAACAGGCCUCCCUCCCAUCUGGAAAUAGGUAGCUGUGUCUGAGACUCCUGGAGAACAAUUAAUAUGAGGGCCAGGCAGAUCACAAUUUCAGGAAAAUGGCUACCCUGUGAGGAGAGAAAGCCACCCAAUGAUGCUGAUACCUGGCCAUUUCCUGUACCGAGGCAUGGGGUUGGGGGGUCUGAAGUUAGAAGAAUGUAAGUCAUCAAAGGAUUUUUGGUCGAAGUCCUUCCAACUUCAAACCGAUACUAAUGUUCACUUUUUAAAAUAGUUCGUCUGACAAAAGUGUAAAAGUUUGGGAUGUUGGAACGAGGACUUGUGUUCACACCUUCUUUGAUCACCAGGAUCAGGUCUGGGGAGUAAAAUACAAUGGAAAUGGUUCAAAAAUUGUGUCUGUUGGAGAUGACCAGGAAAUUCACAUCUAUGAUUGUCCAAUUUAAACAUCAAAGUCUCCAGGCUUAUGCUGCAAAGAGAAUGUACGGAUUGAUCAUGACAUUCCUUACCUUCUUAGGCUUGUUUAAAAGAAAUAUAGCAUUUAUUGUAGCAAAGACUUAAAUUUUGUAGAUACAAUAUGAAUCUUUUCAUGUUUUAUUGGAAAUGCUGUUCAUACUUUAACAUAAAGCUUUCUUAAUGCAAA